rnacentral:rRNA from 1 species
AGCGAACGCUGGCGGCAGGCCUAACACAUGCAAGUCGAACGAACUCUUCGGAGUUAGUGGCGGACGGGUGAGUAACACGUGGGAACGUGCCUUUAGGUUCGGAAUAACUCAGGGAAACUUGUGCUAAUACCGAAUGUGCCCUUCGGGGGGAAAGAUCUAUCGCCUUUAGAGCGGCCCGCGUCUGAUUAGCUAGUUGGUGAGGUAAAGGCUCACCAAGGCGACGAUCAGUAGCUGGUCUGAGAGGAUGAUCAGCCACAUUGGGACUGAGACACGGCCCAAACUCCUACGGGAGGCAGCAGUGGGGAAUCUUGCGCAAUGGGCGAAAGCCUGACGCAGCCAUGCCGCGUGAAUGAUGAAGGUCUUAGGAUUGUAAAAUUCUUUCACCGGGGACGAUAAUGACGGUACCCGGAGAAGAAGCCCCGGCUAACUUCGUG